rnacentral:rRNA from 1 species
CCUACGGGAGGCAGCAGUAAGGAAUAUUGGUCAAUGGGCGCAAGCCUGAACCAGCCAUGCCGCGUGCAGGAAGACGGCCCUAUGGGUUGUAAACUGCUUUUGAACAAGAGAAAACCUCGGUACGUGUACCGAGCUGAUAGUAUUGUUAGAAUAAGCAUCGGCUAACUUCGUGCCAGCAGCCGCGGUAAGACGAAGGAUGCAAGCGUUAUCCGGAUUCAUUGGGUUUAAAGGGUGCGUAGGCGGCCUGAUAAGUCAGUGGUGAAAUCUCUCAGCUUAACUGAGAAACUGCCAUUGAUACUGUCGGGCUUGAGUACAGAUGAUGUGGGCGGAAUAUGACAUGUAGUGGUGAAAUACUUAGAUAUGUCAUAGAACACCGAUUGCGAAGGCAGCUCACAAAACUGUAACUGACGCUGAGGCACGAAAGUGCGGGGAUCAAACAGGAUUAGAUACCCUGGUAGUCCGCACCGUAAACGAUGAUUACUCGUUGUUGGCAAUAUGACCGUCAGCGACCAAGCGAAAGCGAUAAGUAAUCCACCCUGGGGAGUACGCCGGCAACGGUUGAAACUUAAAUGAAUUGAGCGNGNGAGNGCGACGGAGCACGAGGGAGGAG